rnacentral:lncRNA from 1 species
UAAAUGGAGGAGGUGUUUUUUUGAGAGCCUCCCCCAGAAGAUUAAGUACCAGGCCCGGGGCCAAUGCCAGGGAUUUGUAUCAGAGUGUUGUCUUCCAGUGGAGCUGCAGAAGGAUGACCACAGGAAGACUGAGUGUCCAGAGCUCUUUGUCAGCCCCCUUGACCCGCAUCCCAGGGCAGAGGCAUCGAACAAAGACCUAAGUCCAUGGAUAGUCCAAGGCAAUAAAUGCGCUCCACAUUCUUGGCUGUGGGUCUGGGAGGUUAGCACCAAAGCCAUCACAUGGGAAGGUUUAGGGUUUGAGAAAGCACCACCAUUACCUAUAUGUUUUCACCCCCCAGGCAUGUUCCCUAUUUGUUUUGAGAAGAAAAUGAAAGAAACAAAUUUUCUGCACAAAGUUUCCAACUGGCAAACAUUGCUUUGCUUUGUCUUCUUGUGAUUGUUAUUCAUUAAUAAAAUUUAUGCUGCUCACAG